GCUGGGCACGGUGGCGCAUGCCUGUAGUCCCAGCUACUCGGGAGGCUGAGGUGGGAGGAUAGCUUGAGCCCAGGAGUUCUGGGCUGUAUGCCCAAAUCAGUUCUAAGUUCAGCAUCAAUAUGGUGACUUCCUGGGAAGAGGGUACCACCAGGUUGCCUAAGGAGGGGUAAACUGGCCCAGGUUGGAAACGGAGCAGGUCAGAACUCCAGUGCUGAUCGGUAGUGGGAUCACGCCUGUGAAUAGCUACUGCACUCCAGCCUGGGCAACAUAGUAAGACCAUCUCUU
ensembl:misc_RNA Metazoa_SRP Metazoan signal recognition particle RNA